rnacentral:tRNA from 1 species
GUGAGGGUAGCGAAGUGGUCAAACGCGACCGACUCAAAAUCGGUUCCAUAUGGUUCGAGGGUUCGAGUCCCUUCCCUCACA